GCUAAUACCGGAUAACAACACUAGACGCAUGUCUAGAGUUUAAAAGAAUGGUUCUGCUAUCACUCUUGGAUGGACCUGCGGUGCAUUAGCUAGUUGGUAAGGUAACGGCUUACCAAGGCAAUGAUGCAUAGCCGAGUUGAGAGACUGAUCGGCCACAUUGGGACUGAGACACGGUCCAAACUCCUACGGGAGGCAGCAGCC
rnacentral:rRNA from 1 species